rnacentral:rRNA from 1 species
UACGAAGGGGGGCUAGCGUUGUUCGGAUUUACUGGGCGUAAAGCGCACGUAGGCGGAUCGAUCAGUCAGGGGUGAAAUCCCAGAGCUCAACUCUGGAACUGCCUUUGAUACUGUCGAUCUGGAGUAUGGAAGAGGUAAGUGGAAUUCCGAGUGUAGAGGUGAAAUUCGUAGAUAUUCGGAGGAACACCAGUGGCGAAGGCGGCUUACUGGUCCAUUACUGACGCUGAGGUGCGAAAGCGUGGGGAGCAAACAGG